rnacentral:misc_RNA from 1 species
UACGGAGGAUCCAAGCGUUAUCCGGAAUCAUUGGGUUUAAAGGGUCCGUAGGCGGGUACGUCAGUCAGUGGUGAAAGUCUGCAGCUCAACUGUAGAACUGCCAUUGAUACUGCAUACCUUGAGUGCUUAUGAAGUGGUUAGAAUAUGUAGUGUAGCGGUGAAAUGCAUAGAUAUUACAUAGAAUACCGAUUGCGAAGGCAGAUCACUAAUAAUGUACUGACGCUGAGGACGAAAGCGUAGGUAGCGAACAGG